rnacentral:lncRNA from 13 species
CACACUGGGACCUAAAGGGGUGUCAUGAAGGUGACGCACCAGUGCUAAGGAAGGAAACCAUGGAAAGGGGGACCUACUCACUCUGCUUUUCCAUUAUGACCUCAUUCUUAAAACUUCUGACAGAAAGCACACAUUGCUAAGUUCUUGUCCCUGCAUUCACUGACAAGUGCCAGAAGGAUCAGGAAAUAUGCCUCUUCCAGAUUGAACAUCUUUUCAAUCUUUGUAAAAUAUAAGGAAGUACAGAAAAGCCAAAAAAAAUUUGGAAUAUCAAGGUCAUCAGGAAUGCUGCUUAUUGGCUGGGUGUGGUGGCUCAUGCCUGUAAUCCCAGCACUUUGGGAGGC